GAUGAACGCUGGCGGCGUGCUUAACACAUGCAAGUCGAGCGAAGCGCUUUUGCGGAUUUCUUCGGAUUGAAGCAACUGUGACUGAGCGGCGGACGGGUGAGUAACGCGUGGGUAACCUACCUCAUACAGGGGGAUAACAGUUGGAAACGGCUGCUAAUACCGCAUAAGCGCACAGUACCGCAUGGUACCGUGUGAAAAACUCCGGUGGUAUGAGAUGGACCCGCGUCUGAUUAGCUAGUUGGUGGGGUAACGGCCUACCAAGGCGACGAUCAGUAGCCGACCUGAGAGGGUGACCGGCCACAUUGGGACUGAGACACGGCCCAAACUCCUACGGGAGGCAGCAGUGGGGAAUAUUGCACAAUGGGGGAAACCCUGAUGCAGCGACGCCGCGUGAGCGAUGAAGUAUUUCGGUAUGUAAAGCUCUAUCAGCAGGGAAGAAAAUGACGG
rnacentral:rRNA from 1 species